AAAAGAACAAGUUAGAAAAUAAAUAGUUCUUUAGGGUAUAUUAGUAAUCCUGGUAAAAGAAUUUAAGGGACAGUUUAAGUCUGAAAUCUUAAAGCCUAUACUCUUAGAACUCCAAGGUGGAGGUACUGAAGCCUCAAUAUCAAUAGAAAGACUGGACACCUUGGAAUAAAUGAACAUUCCCAGUGCCCAGACUGUGGUUUAAAAAUAUGUAUUUCCCAUUAAAAGGAACUAAGACUCCAUGGAAAACUGCUGAUUCCAGGUCUGGAGCAGGAAAUGUACAAGAUGAAUUUUGAGCAUAUUGUUGUGCCUGAAAGCAAAGAAACUAUCAAAGAAGACUGAAUGUGUCAAAAGGUGCUAUGCUGUCCUCAGUCUCUUCAGGUGUGUCUGACUGUUUGUGACCCUACGGACUGUCGCCCGCAAGGCUUCUCCGUCCAUGGACUUCUCCAGGCAAGGACACGGGAGUGGAUUGCCAUUUCCUCCUCCAGGGGAUUUUCUUGACCUAGGAUUAAACCCACGCCUCCUGUGUCUCCUGCAUUGCAGACAGAUUCUUUACCCACUGAGCCAUCUGACAAGGAACAAACUUGAAGGAGCUUCCAUUAGUUAGCAUUGGGAGAACUCAGGUACAAAAAAAACCCAAAUGAUAACAAUAAUUGCUAAGAAUUGAACAUGAUUAAAAUAUUUAAAAAUCAAUGAAUUUAAGAUGAAAAUGAAACUUCAAGGCUACUCUUGGAGUGUGCUGGAAUACUAACUCAUUACUCUGAAAAUUGAUAAGUAAAGAAAGACUGAAACAUUUAUCUUGCUUUUCCUAUAUGGACCAACAUUUAAGGCAACCAAAUAGUUGAUGAACAAGUUUUCCUUAAUAGAAGACGAAACUAUCAUCUUAAAAAAAAAAUCUCAUUUUGAAAUUUCUGGUGAAGUAAUAGGUUUAGAAAUGAUCAUUAAUGACUGUAAACACUGUUAGGUGAAAAGAUGAUGUGUGUGAAGGUGGGGUUAUAGUAGAUAGAUGAAACUGACAGCUCAUGAAUCCAGUGAUCAAUCUGAGCAUUACUCAAGGUGUGGCACCCAGACAGUAUAGUUUUCUAUACUUGGAACUAUGCAGCACUAAGAAAAAAAGUUUAUGAAUCAUUAACUACGAACUUACGAGAAACAUGGAAGAUAAAGAUACAUGCUGAAGACAUCAGGAAGACCGUGUCAGUCAAAUCCAGAAUAUGAUAAAUUGUAAGAAAAAUGACCCAGUUUCUUCAACGAGUAAAUGGCAUAGAAAGUAGAGGUGAGGCAGUAUUAUAGAUUAAAAGAAGAUUGCGACCUAUAAGUGAAAAGCUGUAUUUGUUCCUAUUUUUUUACCUGAUUCAAAUAAACCAGUUAUACAAAUGCAUUUUUUUUGGAAACUGGAGAAAAUUAGACAUAGUCUGUACUGUAGAUAUUAAUGAAGUAUUAAUUAAUCUUGUUUGAUAUGAUAGUGGCUUUCCUGGUGGCUAGUCUUUAUCAUUCAGAUGGUAAAGAAUCUGCUUGCCGUGAGGGAGACCCAGGUUUCAUCCCUGAGUCGAG
ensembl:lncRNA